rnacentral:rRNA from 1 species
UACGUAGGGGGCAAGCGUUGUCCGGAAUCAUUGGGCGUAAAGAGCGUGUAGGCGGCUCGGUAAGUCCGCUGUGAAAGUCCAGGGCUCAACCCUGGAAGGCCGGUGGAAACUGCCGGGCUAGAGUCCGGAAGAGGAGAGUGGAAUUCCUGGUGUAGCGGUGAAAUGCGCAGAUAUCAGGAAGAACACCCGUGGCUAAGGCGGCUCUCUAGUACGGUACUGACGCUGAGACGCGAAAGCGUGGGGAGCGAACAGG